rnacentral:rRNA from 1 species
UGGCUCAUUAAAUCAGUUAUCGUUUAUUUGAUAGUACCUUACUACUUGGAUAACCGUGGUAAUUCUAGAGCUAAUACAUGCUAAAAACCCCGACUUCGGGAGGGGUGUAUUUAUUAGAUAAAAAACCAACGCCCUUCGGGGCUUCUUGGUGAUUCAUGAUAACUUAACGAAUCGCAUGGCCUUGCGCCGGCGAUGGUUCAUUCAAAUUUCUGCCCUAUCAACUUUCGAUGGUAGGAUAGUGGCCUACCAUGGUAUCAACGGGUAACGGGGAAUUAGGGUUCUAUUCCGGAGAGGGAGCCUGAGAAACGGCUACCACAUCCAAGGAAGGCAGCAGGCGCGCAAAUUACCCAAUCCCGACACGGGGAGGUAGUGACAAUAAAUACUGAUACAGGGCUCUUUUGGGUCUUGUAAUUGGAAUGAGUACAAUUUAAAUCCCUUAACGAGGAACAAUUGGAGGGCAAGUCUGGUGCCAGCAGCCGCGGUAAUUCCAGCUCCAAUAGCGUAUAUUAAAGUUGUUGCAGUUAAAAAGCUCGUAGUUGAACCUUGGGCCUGGCUGGCCGGUCCGCCUCACCGCGUGCACUGGUCCGGCCGGGCCUUUCCUUCUGGGGAGCCGCAUGCCCUUCACUGGGUGUGUCGGGGAACCAGGACUUUUACUUUGAAAAAAUUAGAGUGUUCAAAGCAGGCCUUUGCUCGGAUACAUUAGCAUGGAAUAAUAGAAUAGGACGUGCGGUCCUAUUUUGUUGGUUUCUAGGACCGCCGUAAUGAUUAAUAGGGAUAGUCGGGGGCAUCAGUAUUCAAUUGUCAGAGGUGAAAUUCUUGGAUUUAUUGAAGACUAACUACUGCGAAAGCAUUUGCCAAGGAUGUUUUCAUUAAUCAGUGAACGAAAGUUAGGGGAUCGAAGACGAUCAGAUACCGUCGUAGUCUUAACCGUAAACUAUGCCGACUAGGGAUCGGGCGAUGUUAUCAUUUUGACUCGCUCGGCACCUUACGA